rnacentral:pre_miRNA from 1 species
UUUAAGUGCAGCCGUAAGUUUCCGUGUCCAACGUUUGACCAUCCGUCUUAUUUGAAAAAUUUAUGAAUUUUUUUAAAAAAUUAAGUCACGCAUAAAGUAAUAUUUAUAUUUUAUCAUCUAAUAACAAUAAAAAUAGUAAUAAAAAAUUUCAAAUAAGACGGACGGUCAAAGUUGGACACUAAAACCCACAACUGCGCUUAUU